UGCCGCGUGUCUGAAGAAGGCCUUCGGGUUGUAAAGGACUUUUGUCAGGGAGGAAAUCCUGCAGGCUAAUAUCCUGUGGGGAUGACAGUACCUGAAAAAUAAGCACCGGCUAACUACGUGCCAGCAGCCGCGGUAAU
rnacentral:rRNA from 1 species